UCUUGUAGUUUAUGGUUAUUAUAUUCUCAAAAUUUAUUUAGCUACAUCAUAACAAGGUAUUGAUUUAGUGUUUUAUAACCUUGAAAUAUGGAUUCUAGAAACAAUGCUAUAAGACUGUUGUUUUUGCUGGUAAUUUCAAUGAUAAUAUUGCUACAAGCUUUACAUGAAGGAAAUGCACGUUUAGGAAGAUUUAAAGAGCAGUUUGCAAUGAAAGGAUAAUGAGGAUAUCCAAGAAUAAUGGGGCUUCUGGGUGAAUUUCAAAAUAAAGAUGGAAACCUAUAAUAUACAAACCUUUUUUGGAAGAUGUCAUAUAUACACAUAAUAAAAGCUGAAGCCAAAUUUGAAAA